CGCAUCUAUUGCUUUUACCUGCGGGGUUCAUGCGGUCCGUGCAGAGUCUUGCUGUGAACUGUCGCAUCGUUAAUUCCAUGCAGAGAUGGCACUAGCAUGAACUAAAAAUCAUAAAUUAGAAUUGUAUUCGUUUUGAAGACAAAUCUAUUAUCAGCGUUUGUGUAUAAACAACUUUCUUAUCGCAUUCGCCGUGCGAGAUGCUACGCGUAAGAUUCUCGUCGCGCUGUCGCAUGCAGCACAUUUUAGUUUAGUUCUUAUCACAGGUACCGUGUCUAUUGCAAAUCGCGCACAAGGUCUCGUGCCAACGACGCGCCGCCGGCUUUGCGCAUAUAUUGCUUAUCAGCCAGUUUCGUGCCGGUCUCUGGUUGAUCCAGACGUAUUUUACGCGACUCGUAUUGUUUGUCCGGACACCUAUUUCCCAAAUUCGCAUUAUAUUCGAUCAUCAAUCGACUAUAGUAUUGUUAUUUACUGUUUGCGCGAUUAAGUGUAUCGUCACCGUGCUGAUUUGAUAUUUAUCACUAGGAUGACCCAUCGUGCUGAUGUAGUAUUUGCCAUGCCUUGGAGUGCCAUGAGUUCUGCAUUACAAUCGUCCUUUGAGUUCCGAUGACCGACUCACGAGCUAAAUUAGAAUGCGUAUUUGAUUCGUUUCGUCGGUCGACUCCCUAUUUAAAAUAAAAUACAUUAGCCUGAGUGUUGCACCGCGUGAAAUACUGGUAUGUGGUGUGUGUAAUUAAGUGUUAGUUUUGUACAACUGAUCCACGCGUGUUCGUAAUAUGUAGAUCAUUUUAGUCAUUGCACGCGUGCACGUGUGUCACACAAACUUGAACGGGAUGUUUAGAAAUGUAGAAUUAAAUUCUCCGUCGGGUUAUAUUUGAUUGUUCCAGGAAUUCAACCUGCAACCCGCGAAAAUCUUUUUAAAAAUUUGAAGUUCAGUUACUGAAGUUGCCCUCGUAGCGAAACAUGUCUAACUCUCAUAUAACUUGUAAUCUAAACUCAUAUAUAUAUGGGAUUUAUAUAUAUAUAUAUAUUAAUUUAAAUAAUAUAGAUAAAUUUUAGUGUAGACAAAAAGUUACUUACUUAUUAUAAAAAAUAGGGGUUGGUGAUAAGAAACCAAAAAUUUAGGGUUGUAUGUAUAUUUUAAUGCCACAUUAGAAAAAUAAAAACAAAAAAUUUCAAGCAAAAUUUAAAAAAAAUUAAGGGUGAACAACCCUUAUCACUUAGAGAUAUGAAGUUACCGAUUCUCAGACCUACUGACUACGCAUAUAAAAAUUUUCUUUGAGCGGGAUGAAAAAUGAUUAAAUUACUAAAAUGGCUAUAAAAAAAUAGGGCUUGGUGAUAAAAAAGUAAAAAUUUAGGGUUGUAUGUAUUUUUUAAUUCCACAUUAUAAAAAAAAUAAAAACAAAAGAAUUUGUCCAAAAAUUUAAAAAAAAGUUAAGGGUGAACAACCCUUAUCACUUAGAGAUAUGAAGUUACUGAUUCUCAAACCUAGUGAAUACGCAUAUAAAAAUUUUCUUUGAGCGGGAUGAAAAAUGAUUAAAUUACUAAAAUGGCUAUAAAGAAAUAGGGGUUGGUGAUAAAAAACUAAAAAUUUAGGGUUGUAUGUAUUUUUUAAUUCCACAUUAUAAAAAAAAUAAAAACAAAAGAAUUUGUCCAAAAAUUUAAAAAAAAGUUAAGGGUGAACAACCCUUAUCACUUAGGGGUAUGAAAAAUAGAUGUUAGCCGAUUCUCAGACCUACUGAAUACGCUUAUAAAAUUUUGUAAAACUCGGUAAAGCCGUUUCGGAGGAGUAUGGAAACAAACACUGUGACACGCAAAUUUUAUAUAUAUAGAUAUAGAUAUAUUAAAUUAAAUUAUUAAAUUAAUAUGGAUUACGUAUUCGUCAGCGAGGAAAAUAAAAGUAGAUUUAGUGUAUGUGUGUCAUUUCAAUAUUGUGAAUUUUUACUUUCGUCUUCUCAAGUACAUGUUUACCACUACGUUUGUUUAUAAACAACUUUUUUGUUCGACUGACGUGUAUUAUCGUGACGUACCUGCCUUGUACCUGGCAACGCGCAGCGCACACGGCAGUCGUUUCACCGCGUGGUCCGCGUGCGGGUCUCACUACUACCCACGCGUGUUCAGGCUUCAAUUAUUCAAUUAAUCGUCGUGUAUUCAUUUUGUCAUCAAAAAAAUAUUCGUAACGAGCAUGUGUGGCUGUUUUGAUCGAUGAGUUGUGGCGGUUAGAGUGUUCUUAAGUAAGAAAUAAGUGUUCGUUAAUCCCUGCACGAGUUUUCAGUUGGUAGAAUACGAGUAUAUUACAGAAUAUAAAAUCUCCUCGUCAAUUCAGAGGUAAUUGUGUAAUAAUUUUUUUUAUGGAAACUUAAUAAAGGCGAUAUAACUUAAAUUGAUUAUUCCAUUUGAGGGAUAUUAUUUUUGCAUGUAACAUCUUGCCAAUUACAAACACGUGGUAGCAUUUAUAUCAGAAUUCUUAAUCGCGUUUUGGAAAAUAACGUGCAUGAUUAAAUUAUUACAAAGACGGUUGUAAAAAUUAUCUGCGGAUUAUUAAAAUGACAAUAUGCAUGUGGUCGACCGCGCUCACUUUGUCGUCGGCCGUCGGCUCGGUCAGCUUUUCGCUGAACACGUGAACGGUUUUAAUCGAAUUGCACUCGAUAGCAUCAUUAAAUUAAGAAGUUUUUUGUUGACCUAAUAAAGUCUUGUAUGAUGAGUACUUCUUCGUUUUUGUAGUUUGCGUAUAUCUUAAUAUUUACAAAGAAAUAGUUAUUUUUGUCCUAUUUACUACGCGCCGUCGCUUGCCGUCUGUUGAUUUAGAUGUUUUCCGCCGGAUUAUCUAUCAAUUUAUGAUGAUGCUUCAUUUGUCGGUUACCAUCAAUUAUUAAUAAAUUAAUGUUAAUAAAUUAAUAAAUAUAUAUUCACAAUCUAAUAAAA